CAGUAGCCGCGGGAAUACGUAGGGUGCAAGCGUUAAUCGGAAUUACUGGGCGUAAAGCGUGCGCAGGCGGUUAUAUAAGACAGAUGUGAAAUCCCCGGGCUCAACCUGGGAACUGCAUUUGUGACUGUAUAGCUAGAGUACGGCAGAGGGGGAUGGAAUUCCGCGUGUAGCAGUGAAAUGCGUAGAUAUGCGGAGGAACACCGAUGGCGAAGGCAAUCCCCUGGGCCUGUACUGACGCUCAUGCACGAAAGCGUGGGGAGCAAACAGGAUUAGAUACCCCGGUAGUCCCUGUCUCUUAUAU
rnacentral:rRNA from 1 species